CACCUAAAAAUUAUUCUACUCCUAUCCAGGAGAGAAUAGCCAAAAACAUUAUCCUAUCCCUGUUAUUCCCCGUGAAAUAAAUGCUCGAGAUAUUUUGGUUACUACCACUUGCUACAUUAUUCCAGGAGGGUGAGUGCUCUGAAAAAAAAGUGAAUACGACGAAAUAAAAAGGGGCAAGUGCCCGGAACCUCAAAAGAAAAGAAAAAGUGAGACGAGAGGUAAAAAUGGACAAGUGUCCGACAGUAGAAUUAGGGGUACAAGAUACCCACCUGAGAGAAAAGAAAAAGAAAUUAUAGAGCAUCUCAUUCCCCUCAAAAAGCUUCAAAGUGCAAGAAAUGUAUGUAUCCCCUCAAAAGAGCAAAAGUAGAAUUAGACUUUCACCAUUGUUUUCACCAUCAUCACCAUACACCAUUCAUCCGCCACACAUGCACAUCUUGGUUUGACUUAUUGACUUGUUUCUCUGGAUCCAUGGUUUGACUAUGCAAUAAAUGUCUUGUAAGUAUGUAUUAGCUGUCUCCCACCUAUGAGCUCUAGAUAUCAAACCUUAUUAGAGUAGGGUGAGAGAGAAGGCAAUAUCAUUAUGCCUCAUACCACAAAUACCACAUACUUUGAGAGAAGGCAUAUAUCAUCACUGCCUUGGUAAGGAUCCAGAAAUACCACAAAAGAGAGAAUUGAGAGAGUCAUACAAGGAAUCUCUGAGUUUUAUUUGAAAAUCUGCAAAAACUCU
rnacentral:lncRNA from 1 species